CAUGCAGUCGAGCGAACAGACGAGGAGCUUGCUCCUUUGACGUUAGCGGCGGACGGGGUGAGUAACACGUGGGGUAACCUACCUAUAAGACUGGGAUAACUUCGGGAAACCGGAGCUAAUACCGGAUAAUAUUUCGAACCGCAUGGUUCGAUAGUGAAAGAUGGUUUUGCUAUCACUUAUAGAUGGACCCGCGCCGUAUUAGCUAGUUGGUAAGGUAACGGCUUACCAAGGCGACGAUACGUAGCCGACCUGAGAGGGUGAUCGGCCACACUGGAACUGAGACACGGUCCAGACUCCUACGGGAGGCAGCAGUAGGGAAUCUUCCGCAAUGGGCGAAAGCCUGACGGAGCAACGCCGCGUGAGUGAUGAAGGUCUUCGGAUCGUAAAACUCUGUUAUUAGGGAAGAACAUACGUGUAAGUAACUAUGCACGUCUUGACGGUACCUAAUCAGAAAGCCACGGCUAACUACGUGCCAGCAGCCGCGGUAAUACGUAGGUGGCAAGCGUUAUCCGGAAUUAUUGGGCGUAAAGCGCGCGUAGGCGGUUUUUUAAGUCUGAUGUGAAAGCCCACGGCUCAACCGUGGAGGGUCAUUGGAAACUGGAAAACUUGAGUGCAGAAGAGGAAAGUGGAAUUCCAUGUGUAGCGGUGAAAUGCGCAGAGAUAUGGAGGAACACCAGUGGCGAAGGCGACUUUCUGGUCUGUAACUGACGCUGAUGUGCGAAAGCGUGGGGAUCAAACAGGAUUAGAUACCCUGGUAGUCCACGCCGUAA
rnacentral:rRNA from 1 species